GAGCCAUACAUAACUGGGUCAAGGACUUUAUUUUACUCUAUUUUAAACUUUAUUUUAGGGCUACGCAGUUGCACUGAUCACAACUAUGGAUAUAAACAUGCUGCUCCUGUUUCUAUUGCUGCUGCUCUUUGGUUCUCAGGCUAACCAUUUCUUUGGGACAGUGAUGACUUUUACCCCCAAAGACAAGACACAUAAUGGCUCUCUCAUGGUGGUCUUUCACUACAAGCUGAGCUUUCGCUCAUGCACCGAUCAAGACACGUGGAGCUGUGUCAGCGGUGACUGUGGUACAGAAAGUGUGGAGCUGAGCAUUGUGGAUGAGGAGGACAAAGAGUGGUGUCAGAGGGAAGGAGUCAUGUCUCGGGAAGUUUCCAGCAAUGCUGUGUUUCAGCUACGAUUGGAUGGCGGUGACUGGAUUCAAACCAAAAACAAGGUGAAGAAAUGGAGAGCUCUGACUAAUGUGGACCUGAGGACUCGUCUCGACACUAAUCAGCCAAACAAGUCACCUCAGACCACCAUCCUGCCAGCCCUGCGGUAAGCUUCUUUAUUGUUUUUAUUGUCAUAAACUUACUGUAAUGAAGGCAGGAAAGGACCCAAAUGCAGACUCAUAGGCAGGACGUUAACCCAAAAAUACAGUUUUAUUUGCUGAGUGGAAUAAAUAAUACAAAACUAAACAGGGAAAUUUCAGGAAUACUGAACUAAUGAAGAAACACACGGAGAAGCACACAGCCACGACAGAUGAGGGAAAAUGCAACACUGGACAGAGGGAAACAGAGGGCUUAAAUACACAGUAAAAUCACGAGGCAACAGAAAACACAUGGGGAACACAGCUGAGACGAAUUAUACACAACGAGAAUGGGAAAACAAAACUAAACACACUGAAUAAGGAAUGCAAGACUUUCACAAUAAAACAGGAAACAAAGGAACACCAGACUGACACAUGAGCUUGACAGAGGAGUGGAGGAGAGGGGGCGAGAGGAUACAUGACGGGCUGGGGAAACAUGGAUAACCAUGGACAUUCAAUUCAACCUACAGGACAAAGACACAACAGAGAGCC
ensembl:lncRNA